UACGUAGGGGGCAAGCGUUGUCCGGAUUUAUUGGGCGUAAAGAGCGUGUAGGCGGCUUUACAGGUCCGUUGUGAAAACUCGAGGCUCAACCUCGAGACGCCGGUGGAAACCGUAAAGCUAGAGUCCGGAAGAGGAGAGUGGAAUUCCUGGUGUAGCGGUGAAAUGCGUAGAUAUCAAGAGGAACACCUGAGGUGAAGACGGGUUGCUGGGCCGACACUGACGCUGAUGCGCGAAAGCGUGGGGAGCAAACAGG
rnacentral:rRNA from 1 species